rnacentral:rRNA from 1 species
GACGUAGGUGGCGACCGUUAUCCGGAAUUAUUGGGCGUAAAGGGUGCGUAGGCGGCAUGAUAAGUUAUUGGCGGCAAAUCGAGGCUCAACCUCGUGGAAACUGAUAAUACUGUCUUGCUUGAGUGCAGAAGAGGUUAACGGAGCUCCAUGUGGAGCGGUAAAAUGUGUAGAUAUAUGGAAGAACAUCAAUAACGGCGAAGGCAGUUAACUAUUCUGUUACUGACGUUGAGGCACGAAAGCGUGGGGAGCAAAAAGG